GAUGAACGCUGACAGAAUGCUUAACACAUGCAAGUCUACUUGAAUUUGGGUUUUUAACUUAGAUUUGGGUGGCGGACGGGUGAGUAACGCGUAAAGAACUUGCCUCACAGCUAGGGACAACAUUUAGAAAUGAAUGCUAAUACCUAAUAUUAUGAUAAUAGGGCAUCCUAUAAUUAUGAAAGCUAUAUGCGCUGUGAGAGAGCUUUGCGUCCCAUUAGCUAGUUGGAGAGGUAACAGCUCACCAAGGCGAUGAUGGGUAGCCGGCCUGAGAGGGUGAUCGGCCACAAGGGGACUGAGACACGGCCCUUACUCCUACGGGAGGUAGCAGUGGGGAAUAUUGGACAAUGGACCGAGAGUCUGAUCCAGCAAUUCUGUGUGCACGAUGAAGUUUUUCGGAAUGUAAAGUGCUUUCAGUUGGGAAGAAAGAAAUGACGGUACCAACAGAAGAAGUGACGGCUAAAUACGUGCCAGCAGCCGCGGUAAUACGUAUGUCACGAGCGUUAUCCGGAUUUAUUGGGCGUAAAGCGCGUCUAGGUGGUUAUAUAAGUCUGAUGUGAAAAUGCAGGGCUCAACUCUGUAUUGCGUUGGAAACUGUAUAACUAGAGUACUGGAGAGGUAAGCGGAACUACAAGUGUAGAGGUGAAAUUCGUAGAUAUUUGUAGGAAUGCCGAUGGGGAAGCCAGCUUACUGGACAGAUACUGACGCUGAAGCGCGAAAGCGUGGGUAGCAAACAGG
rnacentral:rRNA from 1 species